UCCGUCGGCGUCCCGAUAAGUUUCUUGUUUAAGCCCGAGGCUCAACUUCGGACAAGCAAGAAAAACUAUCAGGAUUGAGUCGGUUCGAGGUAACUGGAAUUCUCUGUGGAGGGGUGAAAUCCGUAGAUAUAGAGAGGAACGCCAAUCGCGAAGGCAGGUUACUAGGAUUUGACUGACGCUCAGGGACGAAAGCUUGGGUAGCAAAAG
rnacentral:rRNA from 1 species